UGCGUAGGUGGCGGGGUAAGUUUGAUGUGAAAUCUCCGGGCUUAACCCGGAAAUGGCAUUGAAUACUAUCCUGCUCGAGGGUUGGAGGGGGGACUGGAAUUCUCGGUGUAGCAGUGAAAUGCGUAGAUAUCGAGAGGAACACCAGUGGCGAAGGCGAGUCCCUGGACAACUCCUGACACUAAGGCACGAAAGCUAGGGGAGCAAACA
rnacentral:rRNA from 1 species